UCCGUUCCGUUAGGAUACUGUUGUUGGUAACUUGGUAUUUAUACCCUUCAAACGAGUUUUGUAGUUAAUUGUUACUGCUCUUUGAACUUCGGUCAUGGAGUCUUUCAACAAAUCCAACGCGGUGAAGCUACGAAGCCACAUGGACAAGUACCUGUACGCCGACGACGACCAGAAGACGGUACGCCAGAGCCGAAACGGCUCCUCGCGCAGAGCUAGAUGGUUCGUGGAGUUUGUCGAAGGGAAAAACCACGCGAUACGCUUGAGGAGCUGCGACGGAAAGUACCUCACCGCCACGGACCUCGCGUUUCUUCUAGGUAUGACCGGGUACAAGGUGCUCCAGACCGAGCCGGAUGAAGGUUACUACUGGAAGUACGAGUGGGAGCCGAUACGGGACGGGUUCCAGGUGAAGCUGAGGACCUGGUGCGGGAAAUACCUCCGCGCGAACGGAGGAACGCCGCCGUGGAGGAACUCGAUCACGCACGACGACCCGCACAGCUCGUCCACGCAGAAUUGGAUCCUGUGGGAUGUGGAGCCGGUGGAGUCGGUAUCGGUGCUUAUGUCGUCUCGGUCGAGCUUGUCUUCAUUGUCUGAUGAGGUCUACGGUUCGGAACCGGAGUCACCCAUGUCGGUUAUCUCCACGGCUUCAUCGAGAUUUUCUUCAAAGCAGAGCAUGUCCAACAAGUUCCGCUCAGGAAUGGACCUCUUCAACAAAGCAAAGGCGGUGCGCCUCCGUAGCCACCACGACAAGUAUCUCCUAGCCGAUGACGACGAGGAGUCCGUCACCCAAGACCGAAAUGGAUCCUCCAAGACUGCCCGCUGGACCGUCGAGUUCUUGCCGGACUCCGACUGCAUCAUCCGCCUCAAGAGCUGCUACAACAAGUACCUCACCGCCUCCAACCAGCCCUUCUUGCUCGGUAUGACCGGUCGCAAGGUGGUCCAGUCUUUGCCCGAGAGGCUCGACUCCUCUAUCGAGUGGGAACCCGUUAGAGAAGGGACCCAGGUCAAGCUCAAGACUCGGUAUGGCAACUUCUUGAGGGCUAAUGGCGGACUCCCUCCCUGGCGGAACUCUGUGACCCAUGAUAUUCCUCACAGGACCGCCACCCAGGACUGGGUACUUUGGGAUGUCGAUAUCGUUGAGAUUCAGGUUCAGUCUCCGCGUCCUAAAUCUCCGCCUCCGGAACCGGUUCGACAUGUCGACUCUUUGGAGUCAAAUCCGAGCUCCCCAACUCCGGCUUCCAUCAAAUCUGGGAAAUUCUCAAGACAAGAGUCUGCUGAUCCUAAUGUGAGUUCGCCACCCAAGUCGGAUGGGAGGACUAUUUACUACCAUGUGGCCGAUGAGAAUGGUGUUGUGAUCGACGAAGCUGUGGAGGGAUAUCCAUUUACUUUUAAGGGGAAUGGGGUCGAUGAAUUGACCCGUAAAUUGGAGGAGGAGACGGGGUUAGAGGGUAUCAUUGUGUGUAAUCGUUUUAAUGGAAAGCUUUAUCCCCUUCGCUUGCAGCUUCCUCCAAACAAUGCGUCUAUGAAUGUCAUAGUGGUUUUAUCGUCAUCAAAAGUUUGUAGGAAUUACGAUAUCUAGGUUACUAGACCUGUUUAGCAUUGGAUUACGCAUUUUUCAUUUUUGUGCCCUGUUUGUCUACUGGGAAGUGGGCAGACAGUAAAAGAUUCUUCAAGACUCUAAAAGUUGUAUAUUACAAUGAUCGGACCUGAUUCCUGUUGGGUUUGCUCCUUUAGUUAGUCCCAUAUUGGUGGGGAAUGAAGGAGGAGCAAGACCCAACUCCUAUAAAAGGAGGAUCAGACUUCUUGAUUAAGUGCACCAAGUUAUAAGUGGCAAAGGACUUUGCAAAACAAGGUUUAUCAUGAGGAAGACCAUGCGGACAUUAUAAUUUUGUUCAAAAUAUCCACGAACGAAUGUUCUUUACAUUCUGAGUCAGCCCUGUUGCUGUUCGUAUGCCACCUCAAAGCAUCCUGGAACAAAUUUUAACAGGUUGCCCAUCUUACCUGCUGUGUUUUGUACUGAAUGUAUCAAUAGAAUGGUGAGAAUUAAGAGCACAUGUGCAUAUAUAUUUUUUUAAUUUUUUAAUGAUGGAGAGUCGUAAUGUUCGAUCAAUAAUGUUCCAAUCCGGUUCUUCUCGGAAACAAUUCAAAAGAUACUUUCUAUAGGGUUAGUGAGAGAUUAUGUUGAAAAAACUUCUGAAUGCUUUCUGCCUUUGGGCGAGCCUUGAUUUGAUGGUUUUGUAUCUCUUGGUACGUACGCCCAGUUGCUCUUUGAGGCUUGUGUAAUUAAUUUUGCUGUAAAAUUAUUGAAAAAUUCUAUUUGCAAGCUGCGCCUUGAUUCUUGAUUCA